GCGACACACGUACUUAGGUAUCGUCAUGAGCUAUAAUGUUCACAUGUAAACAGCAGCUCAUGUAAAGAGAUUGUCCAGUCAACUGAUGGUAGCGGUGACUGUCCAGGCGACACACGUACUUAGGUAUCGUCAUGAGCUAAUGUCCACAUGUAAACAGCAGCUCAUGUAAAGAGAUUGUCCAGUCAACUGAUGGUAGCGGUGAAUGUCCAGGCGAUACGUACUUAGGUAUCGUCAUGAGCUAAUGUUCACAUGUAAACAGCAGCUCAUGUAAAGAGAUUGUCCAGUCAACUGAUGGUAG